rnacentral:lncRNA from 8 species
AGAGAACAACAACAUUUGCUGACAAAAAUGGGAAACCAACCAUCAACAACAACUACUACAAUAGCACCAACAACAGUAGCAACAACAACUCCUCUUACAACCACAUACAUACCAACAACUACAUUAAUUGACCAAAGGUAUGUACCAGUGGAGCAGAUCAUUAUUGGCCUGGCCACCUGUAUUUGUGUUCUUAUGGUGGCUGGAUCAGGUCUGCUUGUUUAUACCUUCUGGAGAAAGACAGCUUUGGCAAAAGAGUUGGAUGAUGAAACAAAAACCACAGACAAACCACAGGUUGUUGUUAUUGAAAAUGAGCACACAUAUGCAAACGUUGGUAAAUCCAAGGCACAGAUGAUUGAUGACCACUUUAGUUACAGUGACCUGACCAUCCGAAGUGCUAACGCCAAACCCUCACCAGCCACAGAGAUGACUGAAUAUGCCAGUGUCAGAAUCCGCAAUUCUGAUGUUUUAAAUGUAUAAUAAUGCACAAACAUGCAUAUCUUCAAGUAUAAUGCUCUAAAGUCACAGCAGUGGGAGGCAGCUCCGCAUUGGAAUCUUUACAUUUAUUUUGAAUGAUUUUGAUGAGGUUACUAAACAUGUAACGUGUUUUUGAUUGCAAUGUUUAUUCAAGGCAAUUAUGUUUUGUAUCAUGUUUAAUUUAUUGUUAUUUAUCAUUUUAUCAUGAUAUUAAAGUAGCAUAUAGAGAAAAAUACACUGCAUUCCACAUAUUUGGUGGUUUUCUAACAAAAUGACCAAUAAUCCACUGUUUCUUAUAAAAAAAAUACAAAAAGUAAAAGUAAAGAAUACCUAAUUCUUUAUGGGAACACCUAGGAUCUGGUGUCAUUCAUUGGCACUUAAAUCGAUGAUCUGAUUUGAAGAGAAAACUAACUUCAAAUGGAGGCCUUUACUGCCCCCCAAAAAUCCUGCAAUUCUACACUUUUUGCCAUGGGGCAGGGAUUUAUUUUAUUCUGUUUUAUAGCUCAUCUCAUGCUGUUGUUCACAUUUUGUCAUGAGGCUGGGAGAACAUUUUGUAGUUUUAUGUUAAUUUCUUGCAAUUCUACAAAUGUUUCUAUCAUAUGCUACCAGGAUAGAUCUAUAGCCAUCUCCUGCCAGUGUAAUCCUUACUAUAGGCAGAACACAAAGUAGUGGUGUAGAGGACCUAGUUUAGAUUAUUGUCAGAUUGUGGUGAAGACCAGCAAGCCCAGAGUUACAGAAAGGAGCUACAUCAUGGAGGAUAUGAAUGCUGAGGUCUUCACUGUCACAAUGAGUGCACUGAGGCAAAGUGAGGAGGGGAGGUACUGGUGUGUCAUCUCCAGACCUGGGAGGAAUGUCUAAAGCUACAUGUCUUCUGCACAUUUAAUGCCACUCAGAUUGUCCUGCUGGAACAUCAGAACGUUUCAUCCACAGUGUUGUGAAACCAUGCAAAAAGCCAGAUCAGUAUGAUCUGCAUGAAGUGUACCAUUUCAUUUAAGAUCAACUAUUGUGUUCCUUCCACAUGGCUUUCUGUAGAAAAUGAGAAUAUGAAAACAAUGUACAGUGUAUGUCCUUGUACUUGAUCAUAUUGUAAAUUAUAAUAUGACAUUAACAUAUUUUACCAGGCAUAUCUUUUUCAACUGCUUCCACUGCAUCUAUCGAUUCAACAACAUUAGUGCAGGAGGAAAGUGCAACAUGGCGAGUCCUAAAAAAAUAACAUUUUCAAAGGGUAGAAUGUUUAGUUUAUAGGGGAGGGGGUCGGUGUCAGCCAUAGAAGUACGGCACCUGGAGCAAAUUAGGAUUAAGUGGCUCAAUCAAGGGUACAUCGACAGAUUUUUCACCAACAACAAUAUACAAUGUCUAAAUAAAUAGGCUACAUGUGUCUAUAUUAUGUGUGAGUAUAAUUUCAGGAGAUGGGUAGUCCUACCCCUCUUAGUUUUACAGUUUUAUAAAAUAAAAUCCAUAAAUCAUGUCAACAAGUCAACAACAAUGUUUCAUCCGGGACUUGGGUUGGGGUCCCAGCACCAAGAUAAUGAAUUAUUUGACAUGAGUAUUCAGAAGUCAAACUAUUGUCCUGGGUAGAGCUUUUUGAGUCAACGCGACAAAUUCAAGAUACAAGUACCAUUUGAACAGUUUGCUACUAAAGGAGCGGAAACAGCGUGGAGAUGUGGAAAUAGACAGCGAGGAAGAAGGAAAGAUGCUGAGUGUAGAGGGGAGUAGUGUGGGGAGGAAGAUUGGCGUCACCGGGAGCUCAGAAAUUCAACCUGAUGAGAGUGAGGAGGAAUUACCUGCAGAGACAGGUGCGGUGAAGACCGCUGAGGUCGAGCCUCGUCCCGAUGAUUUUCCCAGUGGUAGUGAGAUUUUUGGAGAGUAUGGUACUUGCAUUCUGGCUGAUCCAUAUGUGAUUGGGUAGAGAAGAGUUUGGGAACUGAAAUGUAAGAUUCUCGGUCUGUAGAAGAAGGGGACCAAAGCACAGCGUGGUGAGUGUUCAUAUUAAUGUUUUAAUAAUAAGAAACACUUCAAAGAAGAACGACAGCCAACAGUUCUGUCAGGUCACAAAAUGUACAAAACAGAAAAUAACUACCCACAAACCCCAAAGGAAAACAGGCUGCCUAAGAAUGACUCCCAAUCAGCGACAACGAUGUACAGCUGUCCCUGAUUGAG